rnacentral:rRNA from 1 species
AUCCUGGCUCAGGAUGAACGCUGGCGGCGUGCCUAACACAUGCAAGUCGAACGGAGCUGCUUUGAUGAAGUUUUCGGAUGGAUUUAAAACAGCUUAGUGGCGGACGGGUGAGUAACGCGUGGGUAACCUGCCUCACACUGGGGGAUAACAGUUAGAAAUAGCUGCUAAUACCGCAUAAGCGCACAGUUCCGCAUGGAACGGUGUGAAAAACUCCGGUGGUGUGAGAUGGACCCGCGUCUGAUUAG